AUUGAACGCUGGCGGCAGGCCUAACACAUGCAAGUCGAACGGUAACAGAAAGCAGCUUGCUGCUUUGCUGACGAGUGGCGGACGGGUGAGUAAUGUCUGGGAAACUGCCUGAUGGAGGGGGAUAACUACUGGAAACGGUAGCUAAUACCGCAUAACGUCGCAAGACCAAAGAGGGGGACCUUCGGGCCUCUUGCCAUCGGAUGUGCCCAGAUGGGAUUAGCUAGUAGGUGGGGUAAAGGCUCACCUAGGCGACGAUCCCUAGCUGGUCUGAGAGGAUGACCAGCCACACUGGAACUGAGACACGGUCCAGACUCCUACGGGAGGCAGCAGUGGGGAAUAUUGCACAAUGGGCGCAAGCCUGAUGCAGCCAUGCCGCGCGUAUGAAGAAGGCCUUCGGGUUGUAAAGUACUUUCAGCGGGGAGGAAGGGAGUAAAGUUAAUACCUUUGCUCAUUGACGUUACCCGCAGAAGAAGCACCGGCUAACUCCGUG
rnacentral:rRNA from 1 species